AGCAGGGGUGCCCGCAUGGGCUGAGAUCAUACCCUGUGAACCUGAUGCGGAUAAUACCGACGAAGGGAGCUU
rnacentral:ncRNA from 1 species